rnacentral:tRNA from 1 species
GCCCUGGUAGUGUAACGGCUAUCACCUGGCCCUGUCGAGGCCAAGACCCGGGUUCGACUCCCGGUCAGGGCG